UACAGAGGUCUCAAGCGUUGUUCGGAUUCAUUGGGCGUAAAGGGUGUGUAGGUGGCGCGCUAAGUCGGGUGUGAAAUUUCGGAGCUUAACUCCGAAACUGCAUUCGAUACUGCCGUGCUUGAGGACUGGAGAGGAGACUGGAAUUUACGGUGUAGCAGUGAAAUGCGUAGAGAUCGUAAGGAAGACCAGUGGCGAAGGCGGGUCUCUGGACAGUUCCUGACACUGAGGCACGAAGGCCAGGGGGAGCAAACGGG
rnacentral:rRNA from 1 species